UGUUAUCAAUCGCUGUGACUGUCAAAUGUAUUGUUAUGGUUUUUUCUAAUUAUAGAGCAAUAAUUUAAUUCGAAAACGCAUUAGCUUAAACUUCCUAUAUAUAAAUGGCCUUAUAAUAAUUUUCAAUCAUGACACUGCCGCGAAUAACAGACUAUGACAUACAAGAGAAGCUUGGAGUGGGCAGCUAUGCGUCUGUUUACAAGGCGCGCCAUAAAAAACAAGGCACUUAUCACGCCAUUAAGUAUGUGGAAAUGUCCACGUUGUCCCAAAGCUCUCGCGACAAUCUAAUAACGGAAAUUCGUCUGCUGCGCGACCUCAAACAUAAAUAUAUUGUGACGCUGCAGGACUUCUUCUGGGAUGACAAGAACAUAUACAUUGUACUGGAGUAUUGUAAUGCGGGCAAUCUGUCCGCCUUCAUCCGCACAAAGAAGGCGCUGCCGGAGUCCACAUGUCGCUAUUUCUUACGGCAGCUGGCCGCGGCGAUUCAAUAUAUGCGAGCCAACGAUGUCUCGCACUUUGACCUGAAGCCACAGAACUUGUUGCUGACGCGCACCGCUAAUAAUGUCUACUUGAAGGUUGCGGACUUUGGGUUUGCGCAACACCUUAAGCUGGGCGAGAUCAAUCAGCAGCUGAAGGGCUCGCCGCUGUACAUGGCGCCAGAGAUUGUGCGCAAGCAUCAGUACGACGCCAAGGCGGAUCUGUGGAGCGUGGGCGUCAUUCUCUAUGAAUGCCUGUUUGGGAAGGCGCCGUACAGCUCGCGCACCAUUGAGGAGCUGCUGCUGCGCAUCCGGAAGGCGGAGCCCAUUGUGCUGCCACCGAAUGCGCGCAUCAGUAACGAAUGCCACGAUUUGCUGCGGCGCCUGCUGGCGCACGAGCCGGCGCAACGUAUUUCGUUUGCGGAUUUCUUUGCGCAUCCCUUUCUAGAUCUCAAGACUUUUCCCUCGGAGAAAACGAUGAAGAAGGCCAUAGACCUGGUUACCCAGGCGGUCGAGCACGAUGAAAAGCGCAACUACAAGGAGGCCUAUUAUCUGUAUUGCAGCGCAUUGCAAUACUUUGUGCCGCUGAUCACCGAGGAAUCGGACGCCAGCCGGCGCCAAGAGCUACGCCAUCGAGCGCUCACCUAUAUGAAGCGCGCGGAGGAGAUUAAAAACGUUAUCAUCGAGGACGAGUACAAAUUGUUGGCCCAGCGUCAGCAGAAGGCAUUGGAGAAAGGCGCCGCUGCCACAGCCCCCGAGGCUGCCAAUCCACAGACACAGCCAAGCACAUCCCGCAUGAUGGAAAUGCUUGAGCCGGAUGCACGCUAUAAGCAGCUUUUUGCCCUAUCGAACUCGAGCCCCUCGCUGAAGGCUGGCUUGGAAAUCGGACGGCAGGGCGAGCUGUACUUGUACGAGCGCAAGCUGGACGCCGCCUUGGAGUCGUAUACCUCUGCCCUGGGCAUUUUGGUGCCGUUUGUGAACAAUGAGCCGAAGGGCGAGCGACGCAACCUGCUGCUGCAACAGUUGGAGUUCUGGAUCAAGGAGGCUGAGAGCAUCAAGAGUAUACUGAGCGCCAAGCACCUGGAUGACGAGGAACAGAAGAUGUCAACGUCUCACAUUCCAGCAACUGUGCCACACUUUCUGUCGGAUAUCAGGCCACACGUUUAUUUAUUCUUAUGCAUUGUGAUUAAUUUAAUUAAAAUGGUUUAGUCAAGCAUCAAUUCAAAUUAAAGCAGAUCUAUGUGAAUCCGCAUUUCUUUAUUUGCUGUAUCUAUGUGUGGCAAUGGUCUCCCGAGGCAGCAGUGAAUUCCUCUUUGUGAUGGUUUGCAGUGUGGCAGUAACGGAUGGAAAUAUCUAUGGAAGACCUCAGAAGUCAUGGAUGUUCUUAAAUAGCAAGACGAGCUGACUCUACCUAGCCCGGGUCCUUUGACCAUCUGUAUAUAAUUGUUGGAAUGACGUUGGGCAUCAUCGUAAAUCCUUCAAUGCUCUCCCGCACUACGCUUACAGGUGUCAUGAUACGUUAAUCUAUGGAUAUUUUCAAAAUCUGUAAAAGUUAAAGGCUUCAAGUGUUACCAUGAACCCUUUCUCUUUCCCUUUAUUUAAAAUAAUCGAAUGCUUGUCUGAAACAUAAUCGAUAAUUCAUAAUAUUUUAAAUAUUCUAAUUCUAAUUCUUGAUCCAGUGAAAAAUGUUGAUUUGAAUUUUUUACAUAUUCUAAGAACACAAAUAUUGUGCCCAUAGCACCUGCCCAUAACGAUGUGCCCAUAAACGACUCUAUAAGUGCUGCACUCUCGACAAAAUAAAGAUAACGCUGAACAUCUUAGAAAA